GCUGGAGCGAAUAUCGCCCGGUAUCGCUCCACAAAGCCACGUCUCCGUGAUGCACGGAACGGAGGAUACAGAAAACUCUCUGCUUUUCCCCACAAGUUCGUCCAGUUGGUUGGACAGUAAGCGCACGUUGGAGAGAAAGAUGCCUGGCAGCGGGAACCACGCUCGCGAAGACGCACGUCUUCCUCCUCUCCUGCGCUUCACUGGACGUUCAGCAGCCCUGAGUAAACGGACGGCCUCUCGGCUCCAGCGGGGUGAAGCUCUGUAAAACCAUUCCAUCAUCAGGACCAACACACACACACACACACACACACACACACACAUUGAUGUCCAGCCUCUCCUUACUACAGCAGACCUGCAGACCUCUAAUCUCUAAAAGAUUGAUGAGGUGCUGUUAAAGCGCAGGAGGCCUGGCGCAGCGUCGAUAAGGCAGCUUCAAUUUCACCACAUUGGUCCCCUCGCUCCCUCCUUUCUUCUCC
ensembl:lncRNA